rnacentral:rRNA from 1 species
GGGUCAGGAAGUUGGUCGUGCCACCGGUACGUACUGGUCUCACUGAUUCCUCCUUCCUGAAGAACCGUAAUGCCAUUAAUUUGGUGUUGCGGGGAAACAGGACUGUUACUUUGAAAAAAUUAGAGUGUUUAAAGCAAGCUAACGCUUGAAUACAUUAGCAUGGAAUAAUGAAAUAGGACGAUCGAUCCUAUUUUGUUGGUUUCUAGGAUUGACGUA